rnacentral:lncRNA from 1 species
UUUUCUCAACAAUUGAUAAUGAGAAGAUAUUGCAACAUUUUCAGUCGAUGCGUACACGUCGCAAUCAAUUGUCAUCACUUUCUCAAACAGAAACAACUAGUUCACCAAGUAUUUAUUCUUAGGUUAUUUGUAAUGUAUUGAACUUUUAUAGCUAUGUUAUUUCAAAUGUAUUAGAACUAUAUUAUCUAUGAAAAUAUUGUUUUUUAUUAAUAUUAUUAUUAUAAAAA